GUUAAAUAAUUAUGAGAGUUAAUGGUAGAAGAAUUAUUUUAAAUAAUUAUUUAGAGAAGAUAUUUUAAUCAAGUUUUUUGAUAUCUAGUUUUUUUUGAUUAAAUUUAAUUUUGAUAUAUAAAGACUAUUAUUAUUAAUAUAAAUAUAUAAUAAUAAAUAAAUAAAUUUAAUUGUUUAAUAUAAAGUAAAUAUGAUAUAUAUUAAAAAUUUAUGGGAUAAACUAUAAAUUUUUAUUAAAAUUAAUUUAUAGAUUUAAUUUUAAAAAUAUUCAUAAAAUUUGAAUUUUUUAUAAAUAAUUUAAUAAUUUAUAUGUUUUAAUUAAUAAAAUUUAUAAUUUAAUUUAAUUUAAUAAAAAAAUAUUUAAAAUAAUAAAGUUUUUAAAGUAAUAAUGAUUAGAUUAGUAUUAAAAAAAGUUAAUAAAAAUAUGUUAAUAAGAUGUAUAAGUUUAUUAAAGGAAUUAGGCAAAUAAUAUUAAAUUAAUUUAAUUUAAUUUUAAGUUCACCUGUUUAAUAAAAACAUGGUUUUAUGUGGUAUAAUAUAAGAUUAAUUCUGCUCCAUGAUAUUAAAAUUAAAUAGCCGCAGUAUAUUGACUGUGCAAAGGUAGCAUAAUCAGUUGUUUCUUAAUUGGGAACUGGUAUAAAGGAAUAAAUGAAAUUUAAACUGUCUUUAAUAUAAAUUUAAAAAUUUAAAUUUUUAGUAAAAAUGCUAAGAUGUGAUUAUGGGACGAGAAGACCCUAUAGAAUUUUAUAUAGGGCUAAAUAAUAUAUUUUAUUAUUAAAUUUAGAUUUAUAUUUAGUUGGGAGGAUUCUUAAAUUUAACUAACUUUAAGAUGAAAAAACAUUAAUUUAUGAUUUGUGUUAAAAUGAAUAAAAUUUAAAAUUUUAUAGAAAAAUUAAUUACCUUAGGGAUAACAGCGUAAUAUUUUUAAAAAGAUCUUAUUGAUAAAAGUGAUUGCGACCUCGAUGUUGAAUUAAAAUAAAAAUUAAA
rnacentral:rRNA from 1 species